ACACCUACAUGAAACUUCUGGAUAUUUGCAUGAGGUAAGAUAUCAGCAGUAUGCUAUCUAGUAUGAUAUCUAGUUACAUUCGGGUCCUCCUUGGUUAUCAACUCAUUCAGCAACAUUCAAAGUUAUAACGGCACUGAACAAGUGUACUUUGGUGAAAUCAGUGGCCAGGAAGCAGGUUCUGGCUAACUAAAUUCUCUUUGUAGAAGGGAAGAUUGGUGGAUUGCCCACUUGCACCAUGGAUAAUUGGUUUUCAUGAGGAGACUAUAGGAAUGGAAUCUCUUGUAGUUAAGUGUGAGUUGGGUAGCUUGGAAGCUGAGAGAUCAACAUAGUGCUCAAAACCGUUUUGUAACUUUUGUGAACAAAUAAGCUGCAAAAGCUUCACUUUCUUAAACUUUUUUGAAUACAACUAAUUCACAGCUUAAGAGGGAUGUUCUGAAAGACAGAACAAAAGCACUUGAUCACCUUCUGUUGUAAUUAAAAAAUUUAAAAAAAAUCUAAAAGGAUUUUGACUUGAAAGCAAAAACUUAGCGAAAUCGUGAUUUAAGAAAGGUUUAAAUGGAUAAAGGGAAUGGUAAUUUUAGAAAACAGAAGAAUAAUUUUGUUUUGUUGAUAAAAGUGCUUUUGAAUAUAGUAAAAAAUUAACAAGAAAAUAGGUGGAACCUCCAUAAGAAUGUUGAUUGCUUAUUACCUUUACUUAUUAUUGCUUAGAGAAAGUAGACAAUUGGUGGAUUUUACAAAAUAAAAACAACAGUAAUAUAAACCAGACUGUGUGACUAUAACUAUGGAGAGCUAAUUGGGACUAAAGAGUUAAAGAGAGGAAAAAAAGAGCAAGAAAGAGAAGAGUUAAAAGAAAGAGAAGACCAAAAGAGGGGGGGAAAGAGAUGAAGCAUGCCUUUUACUUUAAUCCUAGAAAG